UGAACGCUGGCGGCGUGCCUAAUACAUGCAAGUCGAGCGAACAGAUGAGGAGCUUGCUCCUCUGACGUUAGCGGCGGACGGGUGAGUAACACGUGGAUAACCUACCUAUAAGACUGGGAUAACUACGGGAAACCGGAGCUAAUACCGGAUAAUAUAUUGAACCGCAUGGUUCAAUAGUGAAAGACGGUUUUGCUGUCACUUAUAGAUGGAUCCGCGCCGCAUUAGCUAGUUGGUAAGGUAACGGCUUACCAAGGCAACGAUGCGUAGCCGACCUGAGAGGGUGAUCGGCCACACUGGAACUGAGACACGGUCCAGACUCCUACGGGAGGCAGCAGUAGGGAAUCUUCCGCAAUGGGCGAAAGCCUGACGGAGCAACGCCGCGUGAGUGAUGAAGGUCUUCGGAUCGUAAAACUCUGUUAUUAGGGAAGAACAAAUGUGUAAGUAACUAUGCACGUCUUGACGGUACCUAAUCAGAAAGCCACGGCUAACUACGUG
rnacentral:rRNA from 1 species